UCACUCACUCUCUCUCGAACGCUCCGCGACUCCUCGGCUCCUCCGCUCCUGACGACUCUUCGGCGAUUUGGAAAGCGACGCCUCCAUCCUCUCCCUCACCGCCUCAUAUGGUCCUCUCCCUCUCCGGCGCCUCUGCUGGAUUAUCGAGGAGCGUCGACGUCGACUGACCUCGGAGAUGGUCGAGAUGCUAACCUGCAUCAAGGACUGGGAGGAAGGGAAUGCAAGGACCCAACAUACUGUUGAGAACAAAGAACUUGAAGACUCAUUCUCUGAUCUAUAUCUUGAUGAUGAACAAGUUCCAGUUGACACUCUAGGGUCCUCUCAAUCUCAAUCUCAGACACCUACUGAUCCACAACCACAUGUCCAAGACUGAUCUUAUUUAGCUAGUUUGCAUACUUCAGCUUAUGUGCCUGUAAGACUGUAACUAAACUGUACACUGUAAACAAUGACUCUGUGAUAUGUAAGAAAACUAAAAGAGCUGUGGGCUGUACUCUUUUUUCCUAUCUAGGGUUUUCUCACAAGGGUGAGUUUUUACCUAGAUAGGUUUUUAAUGAGGCAGCCAUUGCACUAAACAGCUCAGUAUUAGGUAUUUUAGUAUGUUUAACUGUGUGUUUGUGAACCAGUGAAUGGAUAUGGGUUUCUG